UGUCGAUCGUUGCUGCUUUUUCCAACUGAACAUGCAAGUUAGGGGAUGAUUGUGAAGUGGACCGAGAUUGCGAGACCGGACUUUAAUCUGCUGGUCAGUUUAUUAUUGAUCCCCGCUUUAAUUUUUAUAUACAUUUGAUUAUUAGACCAGGGGUGUGGUUUACCGCCUUCCGCCACCUCAGCAUCAAUGGUGCCCCUCCCUACAUCCGUAUAAGAAUUAGGCAAAAGACUACGGUGUUCGAGAUGUAUAAUAUUUUGGCCAAUUUUAUCAUUCUUAGGGCAUAGAAGCUCUUGUUGUCAAGGUUAUUAAUUAGAACCUUCCUUGAAAUCAUGAGUCUGGUGGAUUGUAAACUAUAUUCACAACAAUGCUUAGGUAAAAGAAAAGAGGAAAAGAUAAAAUAAGCUGAAAGAUUAUGCAUAUUGAGCACCAUGGUUAUUGCCUAGUUCAUAGAGGAAUGUUGGGUUUAGGGUGGCGGAUAGGCCACCCUUUUUUUUGUUGUAAUAUAUGACGAACCCAUUGCAGUGUAUUACAAUUAAUAACAUAUUUCAAUUAAACA